rnacentral:rRNA from 1 species
AUUGAACGCUGGCGGCAGGCCUAACACAUGCAAGUCGAGCGGAUGAAGGGAGCUUGCUCCUGGAUUCAGCGGCGGACGGGUGAGUAAUUCCUAGGAAUCUGCCUGGUAGUGGGGGAUAACGUCCGGAAACGGGCGCUAAUACCGCAUACGUCCUGAGGGUGAAAGUGGGGGAUCUUCGGACCUCACGCUAUCAGAUGAGCCUAGGUCGGAUUAGCUAGUUGGUGGGGUAAAGGCCUACCAAGGCGACGAUCCGUAACUGGUCUGAGAGGAUGAUCAGUCACACUGGAACUGAGACACGGUCCAGACUCCUACGGGAGGCAGCAGUGGGGAAUAUUGGACAAUGGGCGAAAGCCUGAUGCAGCCAUGCCGCGUGUGUGAAGAAGGUCUUCGGAUUGUAAAGCACUUUAAGUUGGGAGGAAGGGCAGUAAGUUAAUACCUUGCUGUUUUGACGUUACCAACAGAAUAAGCACCGGCUAACUUCGUG